rnacentral:rRNA from 1 species
UACAGAGGUCUCAAGCGUUGUUCGGAAUCACUGGGCGUAAAGCGUGCGUAGGCUGUUUCGUAAGUCGUGUGUGAAAGGCGCGGGCUCAACCCGCGGACGGCACAUGAUACUGCGAGACUAGAGUAAUGGAGGGGGAACCGGAAUUCUCGGUGUAGCAGUGAAAUGCGUAGAUAUCGAGAGGAACACUCGUGGCGAAGGCGGGUUCCUGGGCCGUAAUUGACGCUGAGGAACGAAAGCCAGGGUAGCAAAUGGG